GUUCUUUAAACACAAAGGUUUGGUCCUGACCUUGAAGUCAGUUGUUACUUAAUAUACACAUGCAAGUAUCCGCCCCCCUGUGAAAACGCCCUUUUAACCCUCAUAGGGACAAGGAGCUGGUAUCAGGCACGAAAAUCUGCCCAAGACACCUAGCUAUGCCACACCCACAAGGGACCUCAGCAGUGAUUAACAUUGAGCAUUAGCGAAAGCUUGACUCAGUUAAAGUAAACAGAGCCGGCUAAUCUGGUGCCAGCCGCCGCGGUUACACCACGUGGCUCAAAUUGACCCCCAUUCGGCGUAAAGCGUGAUUAAAGUUGAACAUUACUAGAGUUAAACUAAAACUAGGCCGUGACACGCUUGUUUAUAAGAGACACAAAAACGAAAGUUAUUCUACCAUAAUCUACUUGAACUCACGACAGCUACGAGACAAAGU
rnacentral:rRNA from 1 species